rnacentral:piRNA from 1 species
UCGUGUAAUAACGUCUCUGUUACCUCGA